rnacentral:rRNA from 1 species
CCUACGGGUGGCUGCAGUGAGGAAUAUUUGUCAAUGGGCGCGAGCCUGCCCCAGCCAAGUAGCGUGAAGGAUGACUGCCCUACGGGUUGUACACUUCUUUUAUAAAGGAAUACAGUGAGGCACGUGUGCCUUUUUGUAUGUACUUUAUGAAUAAGGAUCGUCUAACUCCUUGCCAGCAGCCGCGGUAAUACGGAGGAUCCGAGCGUUAUCCGGAUUUAUUGGGGUUAAAGGGAGCGUAGAUGGGUUGUUAAGUCAGUUGUGAAAGUUUGCGGCUCAACCGUAAAAUUGCAAUUGAUACUGGCAGUCUUGAGUACAGUUGAGGUAGGCGGAAUUCGUGGUGGAGCGGUGAAAUGCUUAGAUAUCACGAAGAACUCCGAUUGCGAAGGCAGCUUACUAAACUGCCACUGACAUUGAUGCUCGAAAGUGUGGGUAUCAAACAGGAUUAGAUACCCGGGUAGUC